UACGGAGGGUGCAAGCGUUGUCCGGAUUUAUUGGGUUUAAAGGGUGCGUAGGCGCCCGUUAAGUCAGUGGUGAAAGCCUCCAGCUCAACUGGAGAACUGCCAUUGAUACUGACGGGCUUGAGUACAGACGAGGUAGGCGGAAUUGAUUGUGUAGCGGUGAAAUGCAUAGAUACAAUCAAGAACACCGAUUGCGUAGGCAGCUUACUAGGCUGUAACUGACGCUGAGGCACGAAAGCGUGGGGAGCGAACAGG
rnacentral:rRNA from 1 species